GACGAGGAAGACGAUGAGGAGGAGGACGAAGAUGAGAAAGAGGUUGAGGAAGACGACGAGAAUGGGGAUGAGUGAAAAGUAGACUUGGGGGACAAGGAAUGAGACCUGCGCUGAACUUUACGGCGUUUUUGGAUCUGGCCUUAUUUGCCUAUGUAGUCAACUAGAUAUGGGAAAACUGAAAUGCUGCAUGUUCAUAGUUUUCAACGAUUUGAUUUGAAAUGGUGAAAAAGUUUGAAAUAUAUAUAUAUAUAUAUAAUUUAUUUAUUUGGGAAUUCAAAUAAAUUUAUUAAUAAGAAAAAACUCUGAAAUGCAACACUCACCAAGAAAGAGCCCAGAAAGAGCAGCAACACGAAGGAAAAAGAACCCAGGACACGCAGGUCCUAUAAUAAGGGCUGGUUUGGUAUUGUUGUGCUUUGAAAAAAAGUUGAUGUGAGAAUAAGCGGCUGUGAAAUAAAUUAGCAGUGUGUUUGGUAAACUUUUUUGUAAAAGUGCUUUUGGAAAGAAAAAAAACAGUCUGAUAGUGGGUCUUUUCAUUAAAGAAGCACUGUAGCUCCGUGUGCUUUGAAAAAAAAAGCCAGUUUCCAAAGCUGCAAAUAGCAGCUUCAACUUUUCUCUUUGAUUUCAGCUUAUUCUCACAACAGCUUCCAAAAUAAGCCUUUUUUUUUCAGUUUACCAAACACCUAAAACUCUCACAGCUUUUUUUCAUGGGUGCUUUUUUUUUAAGCACCUCACUCCCAAACCACCCCUAAAUCUACCCAAUUACAUAGGGAGCUGCCAGCCUGUCACUCAAGAAAUAAGCUUAAUCCUAACAAUGUUGAUGAUGAUCCUUAAAAAAAACAAUGUUGAUGAUGGACAGUAAAGGAUCGACAUGGGAGGCAACGACUCAUUUCUAUAUUUUAGUAAACGCAUGGAACUCAAGAAUCAAAAUUUUGAUUUCAGUUCCCAUUCUCUGGCUCCCUCGUUCCUAACUGAAACCUUUAUUAUCAGAUUUUCGAGCAUCAGCCCGGAAGCAAGUUAUCAGUCCCAAGCUCGUCUUAUUAGUCAUCAAGGGCGAAGACCAUUGACCACUGCUGCAUAACCAAGAUCACCAAUGACCUGGAGCAGACUGGACUUGAGGGAUAUUAACGGUCCAAAAGCUUUCGUCUUUGAAAAAUUAUCUACACUAUUUUGUAUGAAACAAUACCACUUCUCCUCUCAAGGAUUUAAGUUUGAUGUCUAUGCAGGAUUUGUCUAAGAAUCAUGCCUGGAGAAGAUUUCAAAAUAUUGUCAACAUCAAUAAAAGUGUCAGUCUUGUUGUCAAUCAUGGCUGAAUUCACACCCCAAUUCUCAGUGUUCAUUUUCAG
rnacentral:lncRNA from 1 species